AUUGAACGCUGGCGGCAGGCCUAACACAUGCAAGUCGAGCGGAUGAAGGGAGCUUGCUCCUGGAUUCAGCGGCGGACGGGUGAGUAAUGCCUAGGAAUCUGCCUGGUAGUGGGGGAUAACGUCCGGAAACGGGCGCUAAUACCGCAUACGUCCUGAGGGAGAAAGUGGGGGAUCUUCGGACCUCACGCUAUCAGAUGAGCCUAGGUCGGAUUAGCUAGUUGGUGGGGUAAAGGCCUACCAAGGCGACGAUCCGUAACUGGUCUGAGAGGAUGAUCAGUCACACUGGAACUGAGACACGGUCCAGACUCCUAUGGGAGGCAGCAGUGGGGAAUAUUGGACGAUGGGCGAAAGCCUGAUCCAGCCAUGCCGCGUGUGUGAAGAAGGUCUUCGGAUUGUAAAGCACUUUAAGUUGGGAGGAAGAGCAGUAAGUUAAUACCUUGCUGUUUUGACGUUACCAACAGAAUAAGCACCGGCUAACUUCGUG
rnacentral:rRNA from 1 species